CUUUCUGGCCCGCACUCCUGCUUCUGGAUAGGAGGUCCUCGAGUCACAUGGGACGCGUGGGGGAGGCCAGGCCUCGAGACCCCAGAGUGCCAGGUGCUUUGUGAAUAGCUUCAUUUUCUGGGGAGAAAAUCCAAGCCUCAGUCAGAAUCUCAAGUGGCUCCUGCACCCCUGGGUGUGCAGAACCCAGCUUACUUGUAGCUCUCUCUCGGAGGGAUGCAGCAGAGACCACAGGAAAGGUGGUCUCUGUACCGGCCAGCUCCCCACCUGGGACCCGGUCUCCACACAAGAAGGAGGCAGUGCAGGACAUGGUCUGGAGUCUCACGUGUCACCGCAGCCAGGGGCAGCACCCAGAACCUGGUCCAACUCCAGAUGCAUCUUCAAGGAGUACAGAGGCAGGUCCCCAGGACGUCCUGCAGGAGAUGCCACAGCGAGAGGCAGCGCUGGAGUGCAUCCAGGCUGCAGGCAGAAAGGCAGCCUGCUCGGGAGUCCCGGACCCCUGCGCUUCCUGCAGGCCCCUCCCCGAGCUGCACACACCUGCCCGCCACCCACCCAGAGGAACCACUCACCUGCCUCUGCCUCCCGAGACAAGGUGCCCUCUCACCAAGCCCCUCACCUGGCAAGGCAAGGAGAGGAAAACCUGCAGCAGACCCAGAGGAGCUGGCCUGGGAGCGGCUCCGGGGCCGAUGGACGGAGCCCUCCGGGAUUGGUAAUUACACUAAUGGUUUUCUGGCUGCUGAUUUUAAAGGCAUUACAGGAGGGCUUUCAGAAUGAUGACUUUUCCUUUGUAGCUGCGAUAGGCACUGUCUUUUCAUGCUUUCUACUAAACACAUAGCUGACCUAAGCACGGAUCUGCAGUGAGUGACCUGGUCGCGGAAGGGUCUGGCGCGUGUCUGCUGUGGGGGAGGGUGGCCUCGGCCUGGCCAGGCUGUGAGCUUUGUCGGGGGAGAUAAGAUUUAUACCCCCAAUGUGAAACUUUAUUUCCUCCUUAAAAAAAUUAUGUCUUUAUACCCGUACAGGUUUGACCUCCGUUACAUAGAGAUGUUUGGCAGAUUUGCUU
rnacentral:lncRNA from 1 species